rnacentral:rRNA from 1 species
GACGAACGCUGGCGGCGUGCUUAACACAUGCAAGUCGAACGGAAAGGCCCUGCUUGCAGGGUCCUCGAGUGGCGAACGGGUGAGUAACACGUGGGUGAUCUGCCCUGCACUUCGGGAUAAGCCUGGGAAACUGGGUCUAAUACCGGCUAGGAGCCAUUUUUAGUGUGAUGGUUGGAAAGUUUUUUCGGUGUAGGAUGAGCUCGCGGCCUAUCAGCUUGUUGGUGGGGUAAUGGCCUACCAAGGCGGCGACGGGUAGCCGGCCUGAGAGGGUGGACGGCCACAUUGGGACUGAGAUACGGCCCAGACUCCUACGGGAGGCAGCAGUGGGGAAUAUUGCACAAUGGGCGCAAGCCUGAUGCAGCGACGCCGCGUGGGGGAGGACGGCCUUCGGGUUGUAAACUCCUUUCGCUAGGGACGAAGCUUUUUGUGACGGUACCUAGAUAAGAAGCACCGGCUAACUACGUG